rnacentral:rRNA from 1 species
CAGCCCCUCGAGUGGUGGGGAUGAUUAUUUGGCCUAAAGCGUCCGUAGCCGGCCGUGUAAGUCCCCCGUUAAAUCCAGCGUCUCAAGCGUUGGACCGCGGGAGAUACUACACGGCUAGAGAGUGGGAGAGGUCAGCGGUAUUCUGGGGGUAGGGGCGAAAUCCAUUGAUCCCAGGAGGACCACCAGUGGCGAAGGCUGCUGACUAGAACACGCCUGACGGUGAGGGACGAAAGCUGGGGUAGCGAAUCGGAUUAGAUACCCGAGUAGUCC